rnacentral:rRNA from 1 species
UACGAGUGCCUCAAGCGUUAUCCGGAAUUAUUGGGCGUAAAGGUUGUGUAGGUGGUUAUAUUAGUCUUCUGUUAAAUUCUUCGGCUUAACCGGGGGCAUGCAGGGGAAACGGUAUAACUAGAGGAUGCGAGGGGUCUGCGGAACUCAUAGUGUAGCGGUGAAAUGCGUUGAGAUCGGGAAGAACAUCAGUGGCGAAGGCGGCCUGCUGGGCUGUUGCUGACGCUGAGGCGCGACAGCGUGGGGAGCAAACAGG